rnacentral:snRNA from 1 species
GGAUAUGAGAGCGAUCUGGCUGAGACGUCUGUUACCCUAUUGAUUGCCAGGGUUGAUUUGGCCACCUGGCUAGCUAGGUGUGUGUGCUCUUCUUCCCUCACCACUUUAUGUACGUCCCUCAAUAAGUGCGCACUCUGUGGAAGAGGACGUCCAUCCCCCAGAGAAGAGGACCAGUCUUCGAUCAAAGGUAUAGGAGUAGUUGCGCUCCUCUGCUAGACUCUCCAAACAUGCUUUUUUUUUUUCUUCUUCUUUUUUUUGAGAUGGAGUCUCAUUCUGUUGCUAGGCUGGAGUGCAAUGGCAUGAUCUCAACUCACUGCAACCUCUGCCUCCCGGGUUCAAACGAU